rnacentral:rRNA from 1 species
GAUGAACGCUGGCGGCGUGCCUAAUACAUGCAAGUCGAACGAACGGACGAGGCGCUUGCUGCUUUGACGUUAGCGGCGGACGGGUGAGUAACACGUGGAUAACCUACCUAUAAGACUGGGAUAACUUCGGGAAACCGGAGCUAAUCCCGGAUGAUAUCUUGAUCCGCAUGGUUCAAUAGUGAAAGACGGCGUUUCUGUCACUUCUCGAUGGUUCCGCGCUGCAUUAGCUAGUUGGUAAGUUAACGGCUUACCAAGGCGACGAUGCGUAGCCGAGCUGAGAGAGUGAUAGGCCACACUGGAGGGGAGACGCGGUCCAUGCUCCUACGGGAGGCAGCAGUAGGGUAUCGUCCGCAAUGGGCGAAAGCCUGACGGAGCGACGCCGCGUGAGUUAUGAAGGUCUUCGGUUCGUAAAACUCGGUUAUUAGGGAAGAACAGAUGUGGAAGUAACUGUGCACAUCGUGACGGUACCUAGUCAGAAAGCCCCGGCUAACUACGUG